UACGUAGGUGGCAAGCGUUGUCCGGAUUUAUUGGGCGUAAAGGGAGCGCAGGUGGUUUCUUAAGUCUGAUGUGAAAGCCCACGGCUUGACCGUGGAGGGUCAUUGGAAACUGGGGAACUUGAGUGCAGAAGAGGAAAGUGGAAUUCCAAGUGUAGCGGUGGAAUGCGUAGAUAUUUGGAGGAACACCAGUGGCGAAGGCGACUUUCUGGUCUGUAACUGACACUGAGGCUCGAAAGCGUGGGGAGCGAACAGGAUUAGAUACCCUGGUAGUCCCU
rnacentral:rRNA from 1 species